GCGACAGAAGGGUGAAAAUGAGUUUUCAACGACGCGAGAGGGAAACAGGGCUCGUAAAAGAGGAGACGGUAACAACGGAUCCAAGCAAAGAAUGGAACAGUUAUGUAGAUCGAAACCUGGAACAAAGUUACUUUUCUUGCUCGUUGUUCAACGUCAAAGAUAUUUUCGAAAAUUGAUGCGAACCUGCGCCGUUAUGCAACGGGAAAUCGAUCGAUUUCAGGGGGUUGCGUGUAAUUUCGAGGGACGCUCCAGGAUUGUCCCUGUGUCUGUCGGAUAAUGAAGUUUCUUGUAAACGCAUUUUCGCGUAAAGUGGAAUAUAGCGAAGCGAAAAAAAUUAUUUGAAACGCUUUUAACGCUCCCCAACAACUUUUCCAUUUUAUCGCCGAGACGGGAUUACUCUUGUUAACGUGACCGAAACACGUUGCCCAACGAGUGUCAUUUGUAAAUGUUACUCAAAUAUUAUGAUUGAACAAGCGUGAAAAAUCUUAGAAAAUAAUUUUCUGCUUCCUUGAACAAGGUUCGAUUGUUUAGCUUCUCCUUCAUUUUUCAUUUAUCGUCGCCAAUGACGGUCCUAGCACGGAGUAAUGUGUUCGAAAGGGAAUAAAAGCUACAAAACGUUGAUGGAGAAACAGCUAGGGAAAGGAAAAGGACAAAAAAGCGAGGGGGAUUGUCGAAAUGAGCAAUAUUAGUCGGGCGUGAAGUAACUUCCGUGAACUUUUUUACAAUCCAAGCCACGGAUAUAAAUCUCCUCGCCAGCUGACGAGAGGGAAAAGAUGAAAUAAGAAACGUGCUAACAAGGAAAGUUCGAGGGUCGAUAUUGGCAGAUAUUGAGGGAAGUUGAAAAACAAUUCUUCCUUCGGGUCAUGAUGUACGAAAAACUUGACAAACAAUUUUCUACAAGUUAUAAAGUCACUUUUUUCAUCGUAUCUUCAAUCUAAUGGUAUUUAUCAAUUACAAAUGCAAGCAUUUGAAUACUUUUGUAAACGACUGUAUCAUUUCGUUCUUUUACCACCAUCACUGUCAUCGGGUACAAUUUUAAAGCGUUCUCUACCUUGCUUCUUGCAAAAAAAAAAAAAACGAAAAUGAAGGUAAAGGAGAAGCAAAUGGUAUGUUUGUGUGCACCGAUGCAUCCGCCCAUCAGAGGAUUAUCAUCAACAACGAACACGGUGAAACCAAUGAAGACAUCUGUUUGAUACCCUCUGCUAUUACGAACACGGUGCACAGCAAGAAAAAUAAGAACGAAAAGUCAGGAUGGUAGUGGAUUUAAGUGGGACGGAAGAAGAAGAGGCAAGGAUAAAGGGUAGAGUAAGAACAAACCUCUAACAUGGAGGAUACAAGGCACGAGAGGCAAGGCAAUCGAUCGUCGUACUUACAGAAAACUAAAUAAACUCAACUAACUAAAGAAGAAAGUCUCUUGAACCGUUUAAAUUAUUUCACUGAACAACCGAGGAGAACAAUUUAAUCACCACAACCCUUUGGACAACCAAUGCUUCUUAUAGUCAAUGGAGAAAAUUUUAUUAUUAUCAAUUGUGAGGUUUCAAAAAUUGAUUUCUUCAGAAAUAAAAAU